CCCAAAGCCUUCUUUUCUCCGGGCUGAACAAUCCCACCUCUCAGCCUUUCCGCGUACGAGAGGUGCUCCAGCCCUCUAAUCAUCUUCGUUGCCCUUAGUUCUUGUUUGUAAGAAGUAUCAUUGCUUCUGUAUCCUUACACCCCUCAGGUAAUACUUGCGUUCCUGUACUUUUUGUGCCCUAGGCAAAACAAAUUCGUAGUCGGACCAAAGUGCAGCCAAAGUGCCCAGAGUGAAUCAAAGAACCUUGCCCUAAACUCACUGAGCUGGCCGGGGUAUUACAGUAUGGAUUUUACAUAUGGAAUUGGAGAGGAAAACAAGAGGGGUCAUCUUUGUCUGAAAUUUAUGAAGGGUCCCUGGCUGUGAGACUUUCUAAAAAGUGUGCAGCAAUACAUAGACUCCCUCAGCACGGCACCCAGCGUUGGCCAUGAUGUUGUCAAAACCAUCCAAAUUGCAUUUGUCUCCACAGAAGCAAAAUGGUACAAGGAGAAAACAUUUCCUUUGUCUUGGGAAAACAGAGCCAUGAGUUGAGAAACAGCAUCAGUACCUGCACAAGCCAUGUAGUGCUUCAUCUAUUUUCUCACUUCUAUGGUGUAUUCAGGGCCUAAUUUUAAAGGACUCCAAACAAUGUAGAGAAGGCUGGGCUCUGUGUGGUCUGUAACUAGUUUCUGCUUGUUCAAUGUGCUUUUAUUUUAAGGAACUUAGGUAAUUUUCUCAUAUUUUCUGACUUAUUGCUGUUGCUCUGCUUUUCGGGCUUGUAAAGAGAAGAUUAGAACUCAACAGGAUUUCAUAGGAAAUAUCUUCCAGUGAAAAGUAUGGAUGCAGCUAUUCCAGUACAUUGUGUGAAUGUAUAUUAAUUUACAAAUGUAUUAUUUGUUGAAUUUAAUUUUUAGAUAAAUAAAAAUCAGACUUAUUUCACUUA